rnacentral:misc_RNA from 1 species
AAGUCGUAACAAGGUUUCCGUAGGUGAACCUGCGGAAGGAUCAUUACAGAGUCCCUACCCCUCUGGGGUAGACCUCCAACCCUUUGUGUAUCUGCUUUGUUGCUUUGGUGGGGCCGUAAGGUGCAAACCUUCCACUGGCUCCAGCUGGUGUGUGCCUGCCAGAGGAAGCCUAAACUCUGAAUAUCAGUGUCGUCCGAGUCCUAUAUAUAUAAUCGUUAAAACUUUCAACAACGGAUCUCUUGGUUCUG